UGGGGAAUAUUGGACAAUGGGCGAAAGCCUGAUCCAGCCAUGCCGCGUGUGUGAAGAAGGUCUUCGGAUUGUAAAGCACUUUAAGUUGGGAGGAAGGGCAGUAAGCGAAUACCUUGCUGUUUUGACGUUACCGACAGAAUAAGCACCGGCUAACUCUGUGCCAGCAGCCGCGGUAAUACAGAGGGUGCAAGCGUUAAUCGGAAUUACUGGGCGUAAAGCGCGCGUAGGUGGUUCGUUAAGUUGAAUGUGAAAGCCCCGGGCUCAACCUGGGAACUGCAUCCAAAACUGGCGAGCUAGAGUAGGGCAGAGGGUGGUGGAAUUUCCUGUGUAGCGGUGAAAAGCGUAGAUAUAGGAAGGAACACCAGUGGCGAAGGCGACCACCAGGGCUCAUACUGACACUGAGGUGCGAAAGCGUGGGGAGCAAACAGG
rnacentral:rRNA from 1 species